rnacentral:rRNA from 1 species
CUACGGGACGCUGCAGUGAGGAAUAUUGCGCAAUGGGGGAAACCCUGACGCAGCGACGCCGCGUGGAGGAUGACGCAUUUCGGUGUGUAAACUCCUUUUAUAUGUCAAGAAAAUGACGGUAGCAUAUGAAUAAGCACCGGCUAACUCCGUGCCAGCAGCCGCGGUAAUACGGAGGGUGCAAGCGUUACUCGGAAUCACUGGGCGUAAAGGACGCGUAGGCGGGUUGGAAAGUCAGGUGUGAAAUCCUACAGCUUAACUGUAGAACUGCACUUGAAACUUCUAAUCUAGAGUAUGGGAGGGGGAGGUGGAAUUAGUGGUGUAGGGGUAAAAUCCGUAGAUAUCACUAGGAAUACCUAAAGCGAAGGCGAUCUCCUGGAACAUUACUGACGCUAAGGCGUGAAAGCGUGGGGAGCAAACAGGAUUAGAUACCCCAGUAGUC